ACUCUCGCAGGCUGCCAGUCUGUGCGCUGGUCUGUCCGUCCGUCCGAAUCCCUCCGUCCCACCAGCAAUGCAGCGUCCCUCUUCCGGUCUUCUGUGCCCACAGUCCUCUCCCACUCUGUGCCCCUGGCCGCUUCGCUCGGCCCUCCAGCGUACCCGUCUCGGGGGCGCCCCUGGACUCCUGGGGACUCUUGACGAAGCCUUGUUCCACUCCCUCCACCGCUCACUCUCCAGGCCAACUCUGCAGAGACAAUCCCACAAUAAUAACACCUCGCCCCACCCGAAUGAAUCCGUAGCCUCAGCGCUCUUGGAGAUUCUUUGCUUUGAGCAAGACUGAAAGUCCGAACGUGCAGCACCAAGUGUACUCCCUGUGGGUGACUGCCCAGACCGCUGCCCACCUGAUCGCUGAUUUGGAAUCACAGAGGUGCCACAGAAACCUGGGCAGGGUAGGACCUGGGGAAGGAACAGAGUUGACACCUGAAGAAAUAAAAGCCUUGAUUUUAC
rnacentral:lncRNA from 1 species